GGAUCGGUACCACGACCUGGACUUGGAGUGUGAUGGAGGAGGCGUUGCACAAAAAGCAGCGUUAUUCGGUGGGAUGUUCAAGAGAUCCUCCAAGUCUGCAGAACCAUUUGCUCAAGCACAGGACAAUUUAUCGGCCAAUGGUGAACUUUCAAAGAGCAACG